rnacentral:rRNA from 1 species
GACAGAGGGUGCAAACGUUGUUCGGAUUUACUGGGCGUAAAGCGCGUGUAGGCGGCUUGGCAAGUCGGAUGUGAAAGCCCACGGCUCAACCGUGGAAGCGCAUCCGAAACGGCCUCGCUCGAGUCUCGGAGAGGAAGGUGGAAUGCUUGGUGUAGAGGUGAAAUUCGUAGAUAUCAAGCAGAACACCUGCGGCGAAGGCGGCCUUCUGGACGAUGACUGACGCUGAGACGCGAAAGCGUGGGGAGCAAACGGG